UACGGGGCGCAGCAGGCGCGAAAACUUUACAAUGCGGGCAACCGUGAUAAGGAAACCCCGAGUGCCAGCACAGGCGGGCUGUCCACCAGUGUAAACAACUGGUGAAGAAAGGGCCGGGCAAGACCGGUGCCAGCCGCCGCGGUAAUACCGGCGGCUCGAGUGGUGGCCGCUUUUACUGGGCUUAAAGGGUCCGUAGCUGGAUUCACAAGUCCCUUGAGAAAAUCUAUCGGCUAACCUGAUAGGCGUUCAGGGGAU
rnacentral:rRNA from 1 species